UUUUCCUAGGAGUAAAAUUUCCCAUCUGUUGCUCCGCUAGCAAAACAUCAUCUUCCCAGAAAGUUUUCAUAACAGACUCUACCAGGAGGCUGCAACAGCGAAGAAUCCAAAUGGCUAAUGCAUUCAAGAGAACAUUGCAUAUAUAGAAACCCUUAUACUGGAGACCAACAUGUUUCUAGGAUAUGCUUCAACGUUGCCUUACGGUACACAACAAUUGCAUGACAUUUGUCCAUCUGCACAAACCGACAUGGGAAGCAAAACACCAAAACAUUUUUGUACUUGUUUUGUUAACUGAGCAGCUUUAAACUAAAUUUGACAUGUAAAAUGCAGUGUGCUAGAAAUAUAAUACCCUUAUAAUCAAAAUAUAUGCCCAGACAUCAUGACAAUGGUAUUCUAGGACACUGGAGUUUGCAGCAGUGGGAAAUGGAAACUCCUGUUGAAGCUGUUCCUAUGGAGUACUUGGAGACUAAAAGCUGGACUGCACAACUUACCAAGGAUGAGAAAUGCCUCUUGAAGAUGUACAGGAAAGAGAAAUAGAAGAAAAUUCCAGUGUACUACACAAGGAAGUUUAAUGGCAUUGCCUCAUUUACCUAAAGCCACAUUACAUUCUCUUGUCCAAAAAGCAUGAUCUAUGUGCAGGUUUCUCAGUACAGGCUCCACCCAAAUUCAGACUUACCCGGGGCCAGGAUGCAUCUGCUCUUAAGGAUUAUUAUUAUUGUUUGGCUUAGAAAUCUGUUCUAUACACUCUUCCUGAAAAGAUUUAUGACAUUUUCACAAUAAUGUUAGUUCUGUCUUGCCAGUGAGAAUAUUACUUGCCUUAAUUUUCAGAAAAUAGCUGAUGCACUUUUAAGACUGAAAAUACUCCGGCUGUUUCCCUUAGAUGCUAGUUUUCUGCUUUAGGUUCAGCAGCUUUUCACUGUAACACUGUAUAUCGUGCUUUAGCUGGGAUACUUUUCACUGUUGCACACUGAGGAAAAGUUGCUUGUUAAGCAGAGGAGGUCCUGCCUUAGGAAUGAGUACCUAAGGUGGAUCCACAAUAAAACAUCUUUCAGGUAUAGAUCCUGUGCCCCCUCUACUCCAUGGCAACAAUUUUUUUUAAGGAUGUUUUUGGUCAGUCUCACUUCCAUUCUCGUCCUCCUAAACACAGGUAGAAGUUUUAACAGGUAAUCACUCAAUAAAAUACUCUGCUUGGGUUUGGGUUUUUAUUCCUACAGUUCUAAAACUUGAUUUAUAACAUCUACUGUUGUUUGCACCUUUUAAGGUCUCACUAGGCUCUGCUUUCAGCCCAUUUUAACCUAUAUGUCUCAGCCCUAGUUAGUAAAUAAAUUAAAAUCCCUUCAAGUUGCUAAAUGCUGACAAUCCACUCUAUCCAUUCCUACUGCUUUUGCCAGACUGAUCCCUCCAGCAUAUGCUCGUUUGGUCUGCCAUCAGAAAUCAAAUCCUCCUUCUUCAAUUUAGCCUUUCUAAAUUGCAAUAAAAUAAUCCCAACUUCCAUUUCUGCUCUCUUGCAAACUUCCAGAUUUGACCCAAGUCUUGCCACUUGAUAAACAGUCUGGAUUCAAAUCUACCUUGAAACAGACCAUGCAGCUACAUUCUAGACAUCUCUCACGUUAAUUACUAGAAUCCAACCUUCUGUGAAAAACUUAUUUUCCAAUGAAAGCAGAACUGUUAAGCUUCAUUCAACAUUGCCAUUAAAGUUUUUCAUUUACCUUCCCUCACACGAUUUCCUAGGACUAUAUAAAAGAAAUUUCUUGGUCUCACUUUCAAUGCUCUCCUAGGACUACAGAAAUUUCUUAGUCUCUCUUUCAAUUAAGGACUGCAUAACUCCACUCAAGCGAAGGAUAUUUCUCUCUCCUCCCUAUGCUAUUAUUCACAUUGGUUAGAGUCCCUCCCACACAGAACAUCUUUUCAAUUCCAACCUUUAUCCUCUUCUAAAUCAUCUAUCCUUGCUUUCCCACUUGAAUCUCUGAACAUCGAUUAAAGUGAAUUAAAUAUUCUCUCUCCUGUUCAGCAGAGGAGCCUGAAGUUUAAAAUUUUAACUACCACCUUUGUCUGGUUUAUGAAGUGUAUCACCUUCUCGUAUCAUUCAGGUCCUCAGAGACAGUCACUGUGACCAUCUUGUGAUUGAACUCUGUGACACUCUGUAACAUCUAGCAUAAAAUAUAAUGAACAACAGAAACUACAAAUCCUCUUGGGCCUAGGCAGACCACAUAUAUUUGAUAGGGCUAGUAUGGAGAACUGUUGCAAUAAAAACAAUGCAUCUUGAUCACUAAGUAAAAAAUAGUUCAACUAUUGUUAUGAAGUGGAGAAGUAAAUACCAACUGCAAACUUUUUACCAUCAGGUUACUUCUGUAGAACCCCACAAAAUCAGGGAUAUUUAACAGAAAACUACAAUUUGGCAUGGUAUCGUUUCUCCUUGACAGAUGAAAGAUAUUGUGCAAUUCUAAUACCCAAUCCUUUAAAGUACAUCACUUGCCAGAGUCAUGCUAUAUAAAAACUAUCCUCAUGAGGUCAACACUCAGCAAUAACUCUUACUUUGUUGUCAGUUACUUGUGUAAUCUUGACUAGAGAGAUACUUACAUACUAUUCAGAAGUUCCACAUAAUGAUCUUACUGAUACGUAUUUUGUUCUGUAAAUCAACACAACAUAUUCACCACGCUGUGUCAGAGGGUUAGAGUUUUAGAUUACUUCCUCAUUAAAAAAGGAUGUUCCUGAUGGGUUUCAACAGGAAUUAUCUUUCAAGGUAUUUAAGAGUUUUCAGUUAUCAAGACUAAAAUAUAAGCACAUUGAUGGUUUAAUGAAAGUAACGAUGGUAGAGUGAUAAACAAUGAAGACAAGCCACACCUACAGGUGAAUCCAACCCUUCUGUAAACCAGUCCCAUUCAGACAUC
rnacentral:lncRNA from 1 species